GGGACGACCUCUGCCCCUCCCCUCCAGAACCGAAAUCCGGGACGGCCGGCGCCCGCGGGGCCUAAGAAGUGCCUGACGCCUGCCUGGCGGUCGUUCCCCAGUUUCCCGGGAGGAUCGGUGGGAGGCCGCGCAGAAGAUGCCCCUGCCUUCCAAAGAACCCAGCCACACAUCCAAGGGCUGGCCCACGUGGGGGCACCUGGCUCUUCUCCGGCAGCUAAGCUCAAAGUCAUCCUGUCUGAUACACAGGGCCUCACCUGAAUAGGCUUCUGGGGGACCCAGCCCACCCAUUCUCCACAUCCAAACACAUCUGACCCAUGCGGGGAUCCCCGAGUGGGGAUCCCUGAUCCACUAACAAGAGAGGCCAUUAGGAAUGCAGCAGUGACAGCCGCCUUCUCGUCCGCCGCCUGAGGUAGAAGAUCCGGGCUCAAGCAUUGGGGAAAGGAUGGCUCUACUCUGAAGAGAACAAUAAAUUGACAUCAGAUCAUUUUCCAACAGCUUUUCCCACUUCUUCACAUUUGCCACAUUGCAUUCUACAUUCCAAUUUCCAAAAGGACAGGAGCAUGAAUAAUAUAAGAGAAAGAAAAAAAAUUAACUGGAAUCAAGAACUUUAUCAUUUUCAAGCAUGAGAUUUAUGGCUGAGCAUCGGGUAUGGCUUUUACCCAAAAUGUUCUCCUCAAGAUACCAGGGAAACCAGACCUGCACGGACAUAGUGAUGUUGCAAUAAAUUGAGUUAAAGUCAUUUAUUAAGUUUGGUCAAAUUCCGGGGUUUUUUUUUUCUUGGCUUGCUAUAGUUUUUGCUUAAUUUUUAGAGUUCUGAAUUUGAUAGAGAAUACAUAGUUUCUUCUCUCUCGAUUACCUACUUCCCAUUCACAUUUCUGGUAAGUUUUACCUUCCAUAUGCUACAUGUAUUACAUAUGUUACACAUAGUACAGGAUUAAAAGUCCUUUCUUACACAUUCUCUCGAGUAACAAGUGUUUAAGAGCUUGAAGGCCCCAGUUCAUUCUCAACUCAGGCUUCAAUUCACACAUUUCCAACUCAACCCAGGGUAGGUGGGAGCCAAAAAUGACUUUUAGAGAAGGGCAAAUUGGCUUCCCCUGGUGUGUUUCAGUCCAAGCUUCAAACCGAGAAAAUGAUGCCUCUGCUUAGUUCUAGCCCCAACCAAGGAGCAGGAAGAGAAGGUACACAAAUUUCUGCAUCAAUCAGGCCUUUUCCAUCAUUACUUUCUUCAAAGUGUAUAUACCGAUACCAAUUCCCACACCACUGCUGGGGGGGAACAAAGGCAAUAGGAAAUGUAGAUAAAAUUAAAUUUCCUUAUAACUUGCAGCCCAUUGACAGAUACUUGAGGCGGGCAGAAUAUGGCCUUCUUCCAGGGACUCCCAACUGUCUUGAUGUUAAUGCUUUGCUAGAGGGAAAAACAACCUGAGCUUGACAAUUGCUAGGCCUCCAGGGUUCGGAGUCUUCUUUAGUAUAUCCUUUCAGGAACUUCCCCUUAUCUUUACUUCCCCCAGUUCCCAAGUAUGUAAUCAGUCACUCAUCACAAUCCCAGGGCAGCUCUUUCUGCCCAUGGGUCCUGUCCCUGGGCUUCAAUAAAACCACCCUUUUUGUACCGAAGAUGUUUCAAUUCUUUCUUGGCCAUUGGUUCCAAAUCCCAACACUUCAGACCUCGUCAUUUCGGUGUCUUAUGUGGGGCUUUGAGUCUUCUUGUCUGGACUUUGAGCCUUGGUGCAAAUUUGGUGAGUAUUUCCUCUCCUCUCUCUUUACUUUCAUUUCAGGGGCUUUUCAGGGAGUAUGGUCUUUUUGGAACACUUUCACGUCGUUUGCUCAGGCUGCAGUCCUCUAACCCAUGGCUACUCUGUGGGGAGGAGAAAGCCUGCUUUUUGGCUGGAAAUUAGUACCCUGGCCGGAAUGGUAAUAAGACCCAGAAACUUGAUGCCUCUCUUUGUUUCUGUCCUUAUACAAAAAGUGGUCAGUCUCGGUCACAGGACAGCCACCAAAGUCACAAGGAUGGCUGCCAAUCUUAAGACUCCCGUAUGAGGGUUGCCUGGAUGGCUCAGUCGGUUGAGCGUCCGACUUCAGCUCAGGUCAUGAUCUUGUGGUUCGUGAAUUUGAGCCCCGCGUCGGGCUCUGUGCUGACAGCUCAGAGCCUGGAGCCUGCUUCGGAUUCUGUGUCUCCCUCUCUCUGCCCCUCCCCCGCUCGUGCUCUGUCUCUCUC